UAAUUAGUGGCCAUUGCUUGGGUGUGGCUAUAAAAGCCUGGAAGUGUGCAAUAUCUGGAGAUUGUGAAUCGCUACCUCCUGUGCAGAGUGGCUUCCUGUUUAUCCCGCGCCUGGUGUUGUGAUCAUCUCCUCCUUCGCUGACCUCGAGAACGGUUGUUCACUCUAGUUCCAGUGAGGACGCACGUUCCCGCGGCAGCCC